rnacentral:rRNA from 1 species
UGCCAGCCGCCGCGGUAAUACGGAGGGUGCAAGCGUUGCUCGGAAUUACUGGGCGUAAAGCGAGCGCAGGCGGAUUAUUAAGCCAGAUGUGAAAGCCCAAGGCUCAACCUUGGAAUUGCAUCUGGAACUGGUAAUCUAGAGGAUAAGAGAGGGAAGUAGAAUUCCUGGUGUAGAGGUGAAAUUCGUUGAUAUCAGGAGGAAUACCUGUGGCGAAGGCGGCUUCCUGGCUUAUUUCUGACGCUGAGGCUCGAAAGCGUGGGUAGCGAACAGGAUUAGAUA